rnacentral:rRNA from 1 species
AUUGAACGCUGGCGGCAGGCCUAACACAUGCAAGUCGAACGAGUGGCGGACGGGUGAGUAAUGUCUGGGAAACUGCCUGAUGGAGGGGGAUAACUACUUGAAACGGUAGCUAAUACCGCAUACUAUCGGAUGAGCCCAGAUGGGAUUAGCUAGUAGGUGGGGUAACGGCUCACCUAGGCGACGAUCCCUAGCUGGUCUGAGAGGAUGACCAGCCACACGGGAACUGAGCCACGGCCAAGACCCCUCCGGGAGGCAUCAGUGGGGAAUAUUGCACAAUGGGCGCAAGCCUGAUGAAGCAAUGCCGCGUGUAUGAAGAAGGCCUUCGGGUUGUAAAGUACUUUCAGCGGGGAGGCGUUACCCGCAGAAGAAGCACCGGCUAACUCCGUGCCAGCAGCCGCGGUAAUUC